UAAUAAUUGAGCCGUUAUAUGAAACGAACGAAUAGAAAAAUAUUUGGAAACCACAAACGGAUACGACAAUGCAAGAUUAUAUAGCCAGCCAAUAAUCUACUCUGCUAUAUCGAUAGAGCACCGAUUAAUAUGUGCGAUUGCAAACAGUUCAAUGACACCCUUUCAACAAAGAGACUUUAUAUGUUUUGGCACGGGCGAUCAAUGAAUCGAUGUCACACAGUUAGCAUCAAGAAAGGACAAAAAAGAAGGCGAAGGCCGCGGACAAUGCAGUGAAACAAGCGAAGGUCCAAAACGUCGUAGCUUCUCCCAGGACGUUUUCCAUCUUUGGAAAGAGCUUCGUCACGGCAAAUACCAGACUCCAAUGUACCAUAAUAGAGAUGCUACUGGCUACUCCCUUAGUCUCGGGUGGAAAAAGUUCACUUAUCAUCGCGAAUGGUACAGAUCCAUAGCCGAUCGAGAAUACGACAUUGAAUAAGGAAAGACACGUCAACGGUAGCCAGCCAAGAAAAAGAACGUCCUUACCGUCGGCUUUUAUUUUAAAAUAAUAUCCAAGGACACCGAGACAUAACGUCAUUGCUACACCAGAAAUUACCAACAAAGGUUUCCUUCCGAAUCUAAUGAAGAAAGAAAGAAA